UGACUGACCGAUAGUGAACCAGUACCGUGAGGGAAAGGCGAAAAGAACCCCGGCGAGGGGAGUGAAAAAGAACCUGAAACCGUGUACGUACAAGCAGUGGGAGCACCCUUUGGGGUGUGACUGCGUACCUUUUGUAUAAUGGGUCAGCGACUUAUAUUCUGUAGCAAGGUUAACCGUAUAGGGGAGCCGGAGGGAAACCGAGUCUUAACCGGGCGUUAAGUUGCAGGGUAUAGACCCGAAACCCGGUGAUCUAGCCAUGGGCAGGUUGAAGGUUGGGUAACACUAACUGGAGGACCGAACCGACUAAUGUUGAAAAAUUAGCGGAUGACCUGUGGCUGGGGGUGAAAGGCCAAUCAAACCGGGAGAUAGCUGGUUCUCCCCGAAAGCUAUUUAGGUAGCGCCUCGUGAA
rnacentral:rRNA from 1 species